UGUGCAAAGGUAGCAUAAUCAUUUGUCUUUUAAUUGAAGGCUUGCAUGAAUGGCUUGACGAGAAAUAUACUUUCUUUAUUUUAAAGAAUGAAUUUAAUUUUUUAGUUAAAAAGCUAAAAUUUUUUUGAGGGACGAGAAGACCCUAUAGAACUUUAUUUUACUUAUUUUAUUUUAUUUUUGGUUUAUUUUAAUUUAGUAAUUUAUUUAAAAUUCCGUUGGGGUGACGUGAAAAAUAUUUUAACUUUUCAUUAUUAUUUCAUAAAUGAGUGUUUAUUUGAUCCAGUAUUAUUGAUUACAAGAUUAAGUUACCUUAGGGAUAACAGCGUAAUUCUUUUGGAGAGUUCUUAUCGAUAAAAGAGUUUGCGACCUCGAUGUUGGAUUAAAAUAAGUAUUAGGUGUAGCUGCUUAAUAACUAGGUCUGUUCGACCUUUAAAAUUUUACA
rnacentral:rRNA from 1 species